AGAGUUUGAUCAUGGCUCAGGACGAACGCUGGCGGCGUGCUUCAUACAUGCAAGUCGAACGAGGUCCAUCGAGUGGCAACACUCGUGAAGACCUAGUGGCGAACGGGUGAGUAACACGUGAGGAACCUGCCCCGAUCUCUGGGAUAACAGUGGGAAACCGCUGCUAAUACCGGAUGGGCUCGGAUGACGACAUCGUCGACCGAGGAAAGCUUUUGCGGACCGGGAGGGCCUCGCGGCCUAUCAGCUUGUUGGUGGGGUAACGGCCUGCCAAGGCAUCGACGGGUAGCUGGUCUGAGAGGACGACCAGCCACACUGGGACUGAGACACGGCCCAGACUCCUACGGGAGGCAGCAGUAGGGAAUCUUGCGCAAUGGGCGAAAGCCUGACGCAGCAACGCCGCGUGGGGGAUGAAGGCCCUCGGGUUGUAAACCCCUUUCAGCAGGAACGAAUCUGACGGUACCUGCAGAAGAAGGUCCGGCCAACUACGUGCCAGCAGCCGCGGUAACACGUAGGGGCCAAGCGUUGUCCGGAUUUAUUGGGCGUAAAGAGCUCGUAGGCGGUUCGACAAGUCGGGUGUGAAAACUCCGGGCUCAACCCGGAGACGCCACCCGAUACUGUCGUGACUGGAGUCCGGUAGGGGAGUGGGGAAUUCCUGGUGUAGCGGUGAAAUGCGCAGAUAUCAGGAGGAACACCGGUGGCGAAGGCGCCACUCUGGGCCGGUACUGACGCUGAGGAGCGAAAGCGUGGGUAGCAAACAGGAUUAGAUACCCUGAUAGUCCACGCCGUAAACGUUGGGCACUAGGUGUGGGUCGUUAUCAACGCGAUCCGUGCCGUAGCUAACGCAUUAAGUGCCCCGCCUGGGGAGUACGGCCGCAGGCUAAAACUCAGAGGAAUUGACGGGGGCCCGC
rnacentral:rRNA from 1 species